rnacentral:lncRNA from 1 species
UGAGCAGAAGGGGAUGUGAAGACAGAUCCUUGAUGUCCACAGGUGCGGGGACUGCUUGCCAACCCAUGGCAACUCACCUGUAGCGCAUGGAGAUUUGGGGGUAAACCCAGUGAUGCUGAGUAUGUGGGCUGCCCAAGCUGGGUGGCAACCAACCCCAGCAUUGAAUGUGCUGAGAGCUGGACCGGUGGAUGUCCCCACUGCCCUGAGGCAGGUCCAGGAGAAGGCUCCUACCUGCUGUGCAGAGGGCAAGCUCAUGGCUGUCAGAGGCUCCUAACUGCACCCACCCCCGAUCAGCCAAAGCCAAUUACUCC